rnacentral:rRNA from 1 species
AGCAGCCGCGGUAAUUCCAGCUCCAAUAGCGUAUAUUAAAGUUGCUGCAGUUAAAAAGCUCGUAGUUGAAUUUCGGGACUAUCAUGUCGGUCGUGCCUCGGUACGUACUGGCAUUGUUGGUUUCUACCUUCUGACGAACCUCGAUGUCAUUAAUUUGGUGUCUUGGGGAAUCAGGACUGUUACUUUGAAAAAAAUUAGAGUGUUUAAAGCAGGCUCGCGCUUGAAUACAUUAGCAUGGAAUAAUGAAAUAGGACGUUUGAUUCUAUUUUGUUGGUUUCUAGGAUCGACGUAAUGAUUAAUAGGGAUAGUUGGGGGCAUUAGUAUUCAAUUGUCAGAGGUGAAAUUCUUGGAUUUAUUGAAGACUAACUACUGCGAAAGCAUUUGCCAAGGAUGUUUUCAUUAAUCAAGAACGAAAGUUAGGGGAUCGAAGACGAUCAGAUACCAUCGUAGUCUUAACCAUAAACUAUGCCGACUAGGGAUCGGAUGAUGUAAUUUUUAAUGA